rfam:Schistosoma mattheei strain Denwood, Zambia genome assembly, scaffold: SMTD_scaffold0000087
AUCCAGUUGACGAGUCCCAAAUAGGACGAACCGUGAGUCCUGGAU